GCAAUUAGGUCAUUUGUGCCCGACACCCGCCAGGUGUCGGAUACGCAUAGGGGUUCGACUCAGAUUCCAAAAUGGAAUUUGGGCCGGGUUCUGUCAUGAAGUCUUCGCUUACCAGUUCUGUCCCUAACAGGCUACCGAGUUGUCUCCAACACAAUUGAAGGCAUGACUACUUUCGAUGUUUUUUCUAUUCAUCCCAUUUAUUUCCAUUCAAUAA
rnacentral:lncRNA from 1 species